CAGCAGCCGCGGUAAAACGUAGGGUGCAAGCGUUAAUCGGAAUUACUGGGCGUAAAGCGUGCGCAGGCGGUUAUAUAAGACAGAUGUGAAAUCCCCGGGCUCAACCUGGGAACUGCAUUUGUGACUGUAUAGCUAGAGUACGGCAGAGGGGGAUGGAAUUCCGCGUGUAGCAGUGAAAUGCGUAGAUAUGCGGAGGAACACCGAUGGCGAAGGCAAUCCCCUGGGCCUGUACUGACGCUCAUGCACGAAAGCGUGGGGAGCAAACAGGAUUAGAUACCCGAGUAGUCCCUGUCUCUUAUAC
rnacentral:rRNA from 1 species